rnacentral:rRNA from 1 species
AUUGAACGCUGGCGGCAGGCUUAACACAUGCAAGUCGAGCGGAGAGAGGUAGCUUGCUACUGAUCUUAGCGGCGGACGGGUGAGUAAUGCUUAGGAAUCUGCCUAUUAGUGGGGGACAACAUUUCGAAAGGAAUGCUAAUACCGCAUACGUCCUACGGGAGAAAGCAGGGGAUCUUCGGACCUUGCGCUAAUAGAUGAGCCUAAGUCGGAUUAGCUAGUUGGUGGGGUAAAGGCAUACCAAGGCGACGAUCUGUAGCGGGUCUGAGAGGAUGCUCCGGCGCACUGGGACGUAGACACGGCCCAGACUCCUACGGGAGGCAGCAGUGGGGAAUAUUGGACAAUGGGCGCAAGCCUGAUCCAGCCAUGCCGCGUGUGUGAAGGAGGCCUUAUGGUUGUAAAGCACUUUAAGCGAGGAGGAGGCUACUUUAGUUAAUACCUAGAGAUAGUGGACGUUACUCGCAGAAUAAGCACCGGCUAACUCUGUGCCAGCCGCCGCAGUAA